CCGAAGCGGGGGAUAACAUUUGGAAACAAGUGCUAAUACCGCAUAAUUAGUUGGAACCGCAUGGUUCCAACUUGAAAGAUGGCUCUGCUAUCACUUUGGGAUGGACCCGCGCCGUAUUAGUUAGUUGGUGAGAUAAAAGCCCACCAAGACGAUGAUACGUAGCCGACCUGAGAGGGUAAUCGGCCACAUUGGGACUGAGACACGGCCCAGACUCCUACGGGAGGCAGCAGUAGGGAAUCUUCCACAAUGGACGAAAGUCUGAUGGAGCAACGCCGCGUGAGUGAUGAAGGUUUUCGGAUCGUAAAACUCUGUUGUUAAAGAAGAACAAGUGUUAGAGUAACUGUUAACACUUUGACGGUAUUUAACCAGAAAGCCACGGCUAACUACGUGCCAGCAGCCGCGGUAAUACGUAGGUGGCAAGCGUUGUCCGGAUUUAUUGGGCGUA
rnacentral:rRNA from 2 species